rnacentral:lncRNA from 13 species
CAGUUACUUGCUAGAUUCAAAAAUAAAACCAUUUCUCUUUUCCAUCUUCUCCAACCAGCAAGAGGCUCUUAAAAGAAGAAAAGCCUCAGUUCUGGGUGCCAGAAAUCUGAAAUAAAUUUUUGUUGCUGACAUCAAGGUAUCUGCAGAACUGGUUUCUUCUGGAGGCUCCAGCUUCAAGAAUCACACUCUCAAGCAGAAGGCGAUCUAAGAGAAAGCAAGAGGCAC